rnacentral:rRNA from 1 species
AGUGAACGCUGGCGGUAGGCCUAACACAUGCAAGUCGAACGGCAGCACAGUAAGAGCUUGCUCUUACGGGUGGCGAGUGGCGGACGGGUGAGGAAUACAUCGGAAUCUACUUUUUCGUGGGGGAUAACGUAGGGAAACUUACGCUAAUACCGCAUACGACCUACGGGUGAAAGCAGGGGAUCUUCGGACCUUGCGCGAUUGAAUGAGCCGAUGUCGGAUUAGCUAGUUGGCGGGGUAAAGGCCCACCAAGGCGACGAUCCGUAGCUGGUCUGAGAGGAUGAUCAGCCACACUGGAACUGAGACACGGUCCAGACUCCUACGGGAGGGAGCAGUGGGGAAUAUUGGACAAUGGGCGCAAGCCUGAUCCAGCCAUACCGCGUGGGUGGAGAAGGCCUUCGGGUUGUAAAGCCCUUUUGUUGGGAAAGAAAAGCAGCAGGUUAAUACCCCGCUGUUCUGACGGUACCCAAAGAAUAAGCACCGGCUAACUUCGUG